AGUGAACGCUGGCGGUAGGCCUAACACAUGCAAGUCGAACGGCAGCACAGUAAGAGCUUGCUCUUACGGGUGGCGAGUGGCGGACGGGUGAGGAAUACAUCGGAAUCUACUUUUUCGUGGGGGAUAACGUAGGGAAACUUACGCUAAUACCGCAUACGACCUACGGGUGAAAGCAGGGGAUCUUCGCACCUUGCGCGAUUGUAUGAGCCGAUGUCGGAUUAGCUAGUUGGCGGGGUAAAGGCCCACCAAGGCGACGAUGCGUAGCUGGUCUGAGAGGAUGAUCAGCCACACUGGAACUGAGACACGGUCCAGACUCCUACGGGAGGCAGCAGUGGGGAAUAUUGGACAAUGGGCGCAAGCCUGAUGCAGCCAUACCGCGUGAGUGAAGAAGGCCUUCGGGUUGUAAAGCCCUUUUGUUGGGAAAGAAAAGCAGCAGGUUAAUACCCCGCUGUUCUGACGGUACCCAAAGAAUAAGCACCGGCUAACUUCGUG
rnacentral:rRNA from 1 species